rnacentral:ncRNA from 1 species
UGAAAUAUUAGGCAAACUUACCGAAAGGUAAGGACGCAAAGUCAUAGGGUCUACUAUGCAAAUGCAUUAUGACAGCCUGGCUGCCAAG